rnacentral:rRNA from 1 species
GACGUAGGGCGCGAGCGUUGUCCGGAUUUAUUGGGCGUAAAGAGCUCGUAGGCGGCUUGUCGCGUCGACUGUGAAAACCCGUGGCUCAACCAUGUGGUCUGCAGUCGAUACGGGCAGGCUAGAAUUCGGUAGGGGAGACUGGAAUUCCUGGUGUAGCGGUGAAAUGCGCAGAUAUCAGGAGGAACACUGGUGGCGAAGGCGGGUCUCUGGGCCGAUAUUGACGCUGAGGAGCGAAAGCGUGGGGAGCGAACAGG